GAUGAUCCUGAGAGACUGCUGAUCAGGCACCAUUCUGGAACUCUCUGCAAGGCCCACUCCCCUCUUGGGGGGUUUAUAGUGUUCCAACUCCUCGCCUUGGUCCUGAGUCUCUCAUAAUGGACUAGCUCUCUUCCUCAAAUGGCAGUCUGGGACACAAGAGGAGGCUCAUGAUACCAGUGAGCUGGAAAUGCAUAAGACCACACAAGCAGCUGCACUGUUUACUGCUUCUCUGUAAGUGAAAGUUA
rnacentral:lncRNA from 1 species